ensembl:miRNA mir-359 ncRNA
AAUGCUCCUUGAAAUUUCAAUCGUUAGAGUAACACACAGUUACACGACCUCAUCAAUCGUGUCACUGGUCUUUCUCUGACGAAUUGAAGUUCUGGAGACAAUUUUGGUUG